ensembl:lncRNA
AACGCUUGCUUAACAUCACGGGCAAGACGAUGUGAAAGACACUUUCAGAAAGGCGGGAAAAGCAUCUGCCAGAACAUCCAUAAAAAAUGUGGCGACAGUUUCCUGGACCCUCCCGUCAUCCCGAGGCUGCAAACAUCAGAGAAGAAGAGCAGAAGCACACUUAAAGUGGCUCUGACGUCUGUAACUGAGACAGAUGACCUGCCCACUAUUGAUUCAGACAGUGAGAUAGAGGAAGAGAAGUCAGCUUUAAAAGAGCACAUCGACUUUCUAAAUCCUGUCGCUUCACCAACCAAGAUUUCAGACUACUCCUCUUAUGAUGAUAAUGAUGACGAUCCCGAAGAAAGCAGAGCAGACUCUUCCUUUCUGGACGCAGCUGAGACCAGCAGGCAGUCGGUCAGCGAGCGGGUCCGAUCUGCUCAGGCGAUUCUUCAGACACGUCAGAAACAAUUCCCUAAGAGCAUCAAGACCCCAGAGGACUCUCUCAAGAGGAGGAGGUUUGAAAGGUAUGAUCUAUGGUACUUGGAUCUUAAUCUUCAUUUCAGUGCAACCCUGUGCAAGAUGAACUCAAUUUAUGAGUUCAGUGACUGGCUUUAUGAUUGGGAUUUAUCGUCUUAA